rnacentral:rRNA from 1 species
GAAGCGGCAACAGCUCAAAUUUGAAAUCUGGCGCCUUGUGCGCCCGAGUUGUAAUUUGUAGAGGAUGUUUCGGGUGCGGCACCGAUCUAAGUUCCUUGGAACAGGGCGUCAUAGAGGGUGAGAAUCCCGUAUGUGACCGGUCGCCUAUCCCAUGUGAAACUCCUUCGACGAGUCGAGUUGUUUGGGAAUGCAGCUCAAAAUGGGUGGUAUAUUUCAUCUAAAGCUAAAUAUUGGCCAGAGACCGAUAGCGCACAAGUAGAGUGAUCGAAAGAUGAAAAGCACUUUGGAAAGAGAGUUAAAAAGUACGUGAAAUUGUUGAAAGGGAAGCGCUUGCGACCAGACUCGCCCGGGGGUGAUCAACCGUCCUUUUGGGCGGUGCACUUUCCCUCGGGCGGGCCAGCAUCGGUUCGGGCGGCUGGAUAAAGGCUUCGGGAAUGUAGCUCCUCUCGGGGAGUGUUAUAGCCCGGGGUGCAAUGCAGCCAGUCUGGACCGAGGACCGCGCUUUUGCUAGGAUGCUGGCGUAAUGGUCGUCAGCGACCCGUCUUGAAACACGGACCAAGGAGUUAACCACCGGUGCGAGUGUUUGGGUGUCAAACCCGUACGCGUAAUGAAAGUGAACGGAGGUGAGAACCCCUUUCGGGGCGCAUCAUCGACCGAUCCUGAUGUCUUCGGAUGGAUUUGAGUAAGAGCACCGUUGGUUUGACCCGAAAGAUGGUGAUCUUUACGCGGAUAGGGUGAAGCCAGAGGAAACUCUGGUGGAGGCUCGCAGCGGUUCUGA